rnacentral:rRNA from 1 species
GACGGAGGAUGCAAGUGUUAUCCGGAAUCACUGGGCGUAAAGCGUCUGUAGGUGGUUCGAAAAAGUCCACUGUUAAAAAAUUGAGGCUUAACUUCAAAGAUGCCGUGGAAACUUUCAAACUAGAGUAUGGUAGGGGUAGAGGGAAUUUCCAGUGGAGCGGUGAAAUGCGUAGAUAUUGGAAAGACCACCGAUGGCGAAGGCAGCCAUCUGGACCGACACUGACGCUGAGGCGCGAAAGCGUGGGGAGCAAACAGG